rnacentral:tRNA from 1 species
GGGGGCUUAAGCUGGGAGAGCGCCUGCUUUGCACGCAGGAGGUCAGCGGUUCGAUCCCGCUAGUCUCCACCA